rnacentral:rRNA from 1 species
UGCGGAGGGUGCAAGCGUUAUCCGGAUUUAUUGGGUUUAAAGGGUCCGUAGGCGGACUUAUAAGUCAGUGGUGAAAGCCUGUCGCUUAACGAUAGAACUGCCAUUGAUACUGUAAGUCUUGAGUAUAUUUGAGGUAGCUGGAAUAAGUAGUGUAGCGGUGAAAUGCAUAGAUAUUACUUAGAACACCAAUUGCGAAGGCAGGUUACCAAGAUAUAACUGACGCUGAGGGACGAAAGCGUGGGGAGCGAACAGGAUUAAUACCCCGUGUCAUC